rnacentral:rRNA from 1 species
UACGUAGGGUGCAAGCGUUAAUCGGAAUUACUGGGCGUAAAGCGUGCGCAGGCGGUUGUGCAAGACAGAUGUGAAAUCCCCGGGCUCAACCUGGGAAUUGCAUUUGUGACUGCACGGCUAGAGUGUGUCAGAGGGGGGUAGAAUUCCACGUGUAGCAGUGAAAUGCGUAGAUAUCGAGAGGAACACCAGUGGCGAAGGCGAGUCCCUGGACAACACCUGACACUGAGGCACGAAAGCUAGGGGAGCAAACAGG